GACGAACGCUGGCGGCGUGGAUUAGGCAUGCAAGUCGAACGGUAUCAUCCUUUCGGGGGUGAGAGAGUGGCGAACUGGUGAGUAACACGUAGGUUAUCUACCCUCAAGACGGGGACAACCCAGGGAAACUUGGGCUAAUACCGGAUGUGAGCAACUUUUAGUUGUUUGAAAGGUGGCGUAAGCUGUCGCUUGGGGAUGAGCCUGCGUCCUAUUAGUUAGUUGGUGAGGUAACGGCUCACCUAGGCAAUGAUAGGUAGGCGGCCUUAACGGGUGGUCGCCCACACUGGGAUUGAGAUACGGCCCAGACUCCUACGGGAGGCAGCAGUCGAGAAUAGUCUACAAUGGUCGGAAGACUGAUAGUGCGACGCCGCGUGAACGAUGAAUCCCUUCGGGGUGUAAAAGUUCUUUUAUAUGUGAGCAGUGCUUCUUAUAUUAACAGUAUGGGGAAGAGAUAUUAGCAUAUGAAUAAGCAACGGCUAACUCCGUGCCAGCAGCCGCGGUAA
rnacentral:rRNA from 1 species